rnacentral:rRNA from 1 species
GGGGACCAUCUCCCAAGGCUAAAUACUCCCUAGUGACCGAUAGUGAACCAGUACCGUGAGGGAAAGGUGAAAAGCACCCCGGAAGGGGAGUGAAAGAGAUCCUGAAACCGUGUGCCUACAAGUAGUCAGAGCCCGUUAACGGGUGAUGGCGUGCCUUUUGUAGAAUGAACCGGCGAGUUACGAUCCCGUGCAAGGUUAAGCAGAAGAUGCGGAGCCGCAGCGAAAGCGAGUCUGAAUAGGGCGCAUGAGUACGUGGUCGUAGACCCGAAACCAGGUGAUCUACCCAUGUCCAGGGUGAAGUUCAGGUAACACUGAAUGGAGGCCCGAACCCACGCACGUUGAAAAGUGCGGGGAUGAGGUGUGGGUAGGGGUGAAAUGCCAAUCGAACCUGGAGAUAGCUGGUUCUCUCCGAAAUAGCUUUAGGGCUAGCCUCAAGGUAAGAGUCUUGGAGGUAGAGCACUGAUUGGACUAGGGGCCCCUACCGGGUUACCGAAUUCAGUCAAACUCCGAAUGCCAAUGACUUAUCCUUGGGAGUCAGACUGCGAGUGAUAAGAUCCGUAGUCGAAAGGGAAACAGCCCAGACCGCCAGCUAAGGUCCCAAAGUAUACGUUAAGUGGAAAAGGAUGUGGAGUUGCUUAGACAACCAGGAUGUUGGCUUAGAAGCAGCCACCAUUUAAAGAGUGCGUAAUAGCUCACUGGUCGAGUGACUCUGCGCCGAAAAUGUACCGGGGCUAAACGUAUCACCGAAGCUGCGGACUGUUCUUCGAACAGUGGUAGGAGAGCGUUCUAAGGGCUGUGAAGCCAGACCGGAAGGACUGGUGGAGCGCUUAGAAGUGAGAAUGCCGGUAUGAGUAGCGAAAGAGGGGUGAGAAUCCCCUCCACCGAAUGCCUAAGGUUUCCUGAGGAAGGCUCGUCCGCUCAGGGUUAGUCGGGACCUAAGCCGAGGCCGAAAGGCGUAGGCGAUGGACAACAGGUUGAUAUUCCUGUACCACCUCCUCACCAUUUGAGCAAUGGGGGGACGCAGGAGGAUAGGGUAAGCGCGGUAUUGGAUAUCCGCGUCCAAGCAGUUAGGCUG